UUAUUUAUCUGGUGGGGAAUACCCUGAUAAUAUGGACUCUCGCGAGAUUAUACAGGCGUGGGACGAACGUCUCCAUGCCAAAUACUGAAACAAGCAUUCGUGAAGAGAUUGGUCGGUGGCCCCCCCGAUAAGUCAAUGGAUAAAAGAGCAGUCACUCGGAAAGCGAAAGAUCCGUGGUACGAAUCCCAGUCCAGUAGUCAGUCCAACUGCCCAAUUUUUUCACGAAUCAUAUACAGUUGUCUCCGAUGUAUUGUCGUAGUCGGUCAGUGAAGAAUAGACCGAGUGUUUUUUGAUAAUGGGCCCAGUAGGGCGCACGUACACCCCCGUAGGGAUCCGCCUAGUGGAAGUGCGAACGUUAGCACUUGUUAAUUCUCUACAGAACUAGGGCGUAAACCUGUACAUAACUACGGCGCUUAUUUCGAAUAUUGGUUUAUAAUCUACGAUCGAUUCCAAUCGUACGAAAAUAAAGUGUAUUUUUAUUAGAUUAAUAAAUGAUUUAAUGUGUGCGAUUA
rnacentral:lncRNA from 1 species